GUGGUUUCAUUGUGUUCUGGAUGUGUAGCUCUGGGUGCGUGUGGCUCUGGGUGCGUGUAGGUCUGGGUGCGUGUAGGUCUGGGAGCGUGUAGGUCUGGGAGCGUGUAGGUCUGGGAGCGUGUAGGUCUGGGAGCGUGUAGGUCUGGGCGCGUGUAGGUCUGGGCGCGUGUAGGUCUGGGCGCGUGUAGGUCUGGGCGCGUGUAGGUCUGGGCGCGUGUAGGUCUGGGCGCGUGUAGGUCUGGGAGCGUGUAGGUCUGGGAGCGUGUAGGUCUGGGCGCGUGUAGGUCUGGGCGCGUGUGGCUCUGGGCGCGUGUAGGUCUGGGAGCGUGUAGGUCUGGGCGCGUGUAGGUCUGGGCGCGUGUAGGUCUGGGCGCGUCUGGGCGCGUGUGGUUCUGGGCGCGUGUGGGUCUGGGCGCGUCUGGGCGCGUGUGGGUCUGGGCGCGUGUGGCUCUGGGCACGUGUGGGUCUGGGCGCGUGUGGCUCUGGGCGCGUGUGGCUCUGGGCGCGUGUGGCUCUGGGCGCGUGUAGGUCUGGGCGCGUCUGGGCGCGUGUGGCUCUGGGCGCGUGUGGCUCUGGGCGCAUGUAGGUCUGGGCGCGUCUGGGCGCGUGUGGGUCUGGGCGCGUGUGGCUCUGGGCGCGUGUGGCUCUGGGCGCGUGUGGCUCUGGGCGCGUGUGGCUCUGGGCGCGUCUGGGCGCGUGUGGGUCUGGGCGCGUGUGGCUCUGGGCGCGUGUGGCUCUGGGCGCGUGUAGGUCUGGGCGCGUCUGGGCGCGUGUGGCUCUGGGCGCGUGUGGCUCUGGGCGCGUGUGGCUCUGGGCGCGUGUGGCUCUGGGCACGUGUGGGUCUGGGCGCGUCUGGGCGCGUGUGGCUCUGGGCGCGUGUGGCUCUGGGCGCGUGUGGCUCUGGGCGCGUGUGGCUCUGGAGGUCUGGGCGCGUGUGGCUCUGGAGGUCUGGGCGCGUGUGGCUCUGGAGGUCUGGGCGCGUGCAGGUCUGGGCGCGUGUGGCUCUGGGCGCGUGUAGGUCUGGGCGCGUGUGGCUCUGGGCGCGUGUGGCUCUGGGCGCGUGUGGCUCUGGGCGCGUGUGGCUCUGGGCGCGUGUGGCUCUGGGCGCGUGUAGGUCUGGGCGCGUGUGGCUCUGGGCGCGUGUGGCUCUGGGCGCGUGUGGCUCUGGAGGUCUGGGCACGUGUGGCUCUGGGCGCGUGUAGGUCUGGGCGCGUGUGGCUCUGGGCGCGUGUGGCUCUGGGCGCGUGUAGGUCUGGGCGCGCGUAGGUCUGGGCGCGUGUGGCUCUGGGCGCGUGUAGGUCUGGGCGCGUGUGGCUCUGGGCGCGUGUGGCUCUGGGCGCGUGUGGCUCUGGGCGCGUGUAGGUCUGGGCGCGUGUGGCUCUGGGCGCGUGUGGCUCUGGGCGCGUGUGGCUCUGGGCGCGCGUAGGUCUGGGCGCGCGUAGGUCUGGGCGCGCGUAGGUCUGGGCGCGCGUAGGUCUGGGCGCGCGUGGCUCUGGGCGCGCGUGGCUCUGGGUGCGUGUAGGUCUGGGU